UCAUUCAAACAAAGCUUACCAAAAAAAAAAAACCGUAGGAACAGAACACUGAAGUGAAUCACGAAGUGCAAGAUUCGUUUUUAAAAACAAUCUCGUGAUUUCAGUCUUAUAUCCUUUUCAUUGUUGCAAUGUCGUUUUCCAAUUUCAGGUGUCUUCUUUUCUCUCUUUUCAUUCCCAAUUUUCAACACUCGAACCCUAAAUUCAUUCCUAAUUUUCAUCACUCAAACCCUAAAUUCAAUCCUAAUUCUCAUCACUCAAACCCUAAAUUAAUUCAUCACUUUCCAUUUUCAAACUCAACAAGAAGGUUGUACUCUCGAUUACAUGAAGAAGAAGACGAAGAUAUUAUUGUUUCUUCAUUCAAUCGCUUGCUCCAUCAGAAUCCUACCCCACCCAUCAUCCAUUUCGGUCAGAUUUUAGGUUCCCUUGUCAAGGCCAACCAUUAUUCAACUGCCGUCUCACUUCAUCGACAAAUGGAACUAACAGGAAUUGCUUCAAACUUAGUCACCUUGAGCAUCUUGAUCAAUUGCUUUUGUCAAUUGGGUCAUAAUUCUCUUUCUUUUUCUGUAUUUGCCAACAUUCUUAAGAAGGGCUAUCACCCAAAUGCCAUUACUUUGACUACAAUCAUCAAGGGUCUCUGUCUCAAAGGUCAAGUCCAUCAAGCAUUGCACUUUCAUGAUAAGGUUGUAGCGCUUGGAUUUCAAUUGAAUCACGUUAGUUAUGGGACAUUAUUAAAUGGGUUAUGUAAAGUUGGAGAAACACGAGCAGCCCUGCAACUACUUAGACAAGUUGACGGGAAAUUGGUUCAACUUAACGUGGUAAUGUACAACACUAUUAUUGAUAGUAUGUGCAAAGAUAAACUUGUCAAUGAAGCCUUUGAUUUAUAUUUUGAAAUGCUUGCUAAGAGAAUUUCUCCUGAUGUUGUCACUUAUAGUGCUUUAAUUUAUGGCUUUUGCAUUGUUGGUAAAUUGAAAGAGGCAAUGGCUUUGUUUAAUAACAUGAUAUUGGAAAACAUCAAGUCGGAUGUAUAUAUCUUUAAUAUAUUGGUCGAUGCAUUUUGUAAGGAAGGAAAAGUGAAAGAAGCCAAAAAUGUGUUUGCCAUGAUGAUGAAAAAAGGCAUAAAACCUAACAUUGUUACUUAUAACUCUUUAAUGGAUGGAUAUUGCCUAGUGAAAGAAGUGAAUAAGGCCAUGGAUAUAUUCAACACUAUGACCCAGAGAGGAGUAAGUGUAGAUGUUCGGAGCUAUAAUAUCAUAAUUAAUGGAUUGUGUAAGAUUCGAAAGGUUGAUGAAGCUAUAGGUCUCUUCCAAGAUAUGCAUUGUAGAGACAUUAUUGUUGAUACUAUAACUUAUAGUUCUCUUAUUGAUGGCUUGUGCAAAUUAGGGAGAAUAUCAUAUGCUCAGGAGCUUCUCCAUGAGAUGUGCGAAAGAGGUCAACUACCUGAUAUAAUUACCUACAAUUCUAUAUUGGGUGGUUUAUGCAAAAACCAUUAUGUUGAUAAGGCAAUUGCAUUAUUAACAAAACUUAAAGAAAUUGGUAUUCAACCAGAUAAGUUCACAUAUACUAUUCUUAUUGAAGGAUUGUGUAAAAGUGGAAGACUUAAGGAUGCCCGAAAGGUCUUUGAAGAUCUUUUAGUCAAAGGCCACAAUCUAAAUGUCUUUAUAUAUACCGCUAUGAUCAAGGGCUUUUGUAAAAAUGACUUGUUUGAUGAGGCAUUGGCCAUGCUGUCAAAAAUGAAAGACGGUGGUUGCAUUCCGGAUGCUAAAACUUAUGAGACAAUUAUUCUUUCUCUCUUUGAAAAAGAUGAAAACGAUAAAGCAGAGAAACUUCUUCUUGAAAUGAUUGAGAGAGGUCUACUAUAAGACAGAAUAUGGGAGUAGCAUGGGGCUGGACCACCAUUUCUGCAAUGAGUGAGCUGUCAUGAUUGCAUGCACAAACUGCGAUGGGAUUGGGGGUAAACUGCAAGUUCGACGCACGGCCAAGACAUCAGUAUGUGAUGAACCAGCGCCCAGAACCUCCACCUAUGAUGAAUCUGCAAGUGCAAUGAACCAGU